GACAGAGGGUGCAAACGUUGCUCGGAAUUACUGGGCGUAAAGCGCGUGUAGGUGGAUUGGUGUGUCAGAUGUGAAAGCCCUGGGCUCAACCCAGGAACUGCACCUGAAACUACCAGUCUUGAGUGGUGGAGAGGGAAGUGGAAUUCCUGGUGUAGAGGUGAAAUUCGUAGAUAUCAGGAGGAACACCAGCGGCGAAGGCGGCUUCCUGGACACUAACUGACGCUGAGACGCGAAAGCGUGGGGAGCAAACAGG
rnacentral:rRNA from 1 species